rnacentral:tRNA from 1 species
GCCUUGGUAGUGUAGUGGUCCAGCACGCGAGCCUGUCACGUUCGCAACCCGGGUUCGAAUCCCGGCCAAGGCG